rnacentral:rRNA from 1 species
UACAGAGGGUGCGAGCGUUAAUCGGAAUUACUGGGCUUAAAGAGUUCGUAGGCGGCAUGAAAAGUAGGGUGUGAAAGCCCUCGGCUCAACCGAGGAAUUGCGCUCUAAACUGUCGUGCUCGAGGAAUCUAGAGGUGAGCGGAACUGAUGGUGGAGCGGUGAAAUGCGUUGAUAUCAUCAGGAACACCGGAGGCGAAGGCGGCUCACUGGGGAUUUUCUGACGCUGAGGAACGAAAGCCAGGGGAGCGAACGGG